CGGGCUAAGAGCUCAAACGAGUCACAAUAGGGAGGCUAGUGACCCCCAUCCAUUCCCAUGGCAUCGUUUGAAGGGCUCUGGAGCCAGCCGCCUGGGUUCGAAUCCUGACUGUCCCCCUCACCAGGUCCGUGGCCUUGGCCAUCACUCAACCUGGCCCAGCCUCAGAGCUCUGGGGAGGAAAGGGAGCCCAUGGCAGACCAGACCCCUGGCCGGCCAGGGUCCCCGGGGUCUGCGAGGAGGACGUUCAUGGGCGAGUGUGUGGUGGUGGGUGAACUGCGGCAGAACCCGAGAUUAACAGCUGGAACCCUCUCCUCUUGCAGGUCUGGGUGAAAAGCGUGGGACCCUCAGCCCAGAGCCGCACAAGACUUGGAUUUGCUUUGGAAACCACUGUGCUUUUCAACAAGAUCGUUCAAAUGGCCUGGGUGGAGACGGGGAGCUGGAGAGUUGGGGAUGGAAGCCGAUUUUAAGCCUGGAGGAAUCCAAACUGCACACAGUAGUCCAAGGCCCUGCCCCGCCUCCGUCCACCACCAUCCUCCCCCCGCACCCCCGCCAUGAGGUCCAUGACUGUAUCCUCAUUUCACAGAUGAGGAGACAGGCACAGAGCAGCAGCCAUGGCCAUGUGGCCGGUCACGCAGUGGAGGGAGGCCCGGGGGCAGGAGAGGGGCGCCUAAGGCCACACAGCAGGGCUGCGCCGGCGCGCAUGGCUGAGAAGCAGGUUCCAGGAGUUUCUGGGAGUUCUUGCUCAACAUCAAGAAACUUCCACCAGGAUCCACGGGGGGAAGUGGAAGCAGCCUUGUGAUAGCAGUUUCAAAGGCCUGGGCUCUGGCAAAUAGGAAAAAACAGGCUGAGAAAACAUAUCAGGCAGGCCUGCUUGUGAGGGAACCUGGCAGACAUCCAACCAGCAGUCUGGUGGCCAAUUCGGUACAUCAGACAUGCGCUUAAUCCAUCAUUCGGCAGCGGGCAGGUCACUGGCCACACAGGCUUCAGACCUCCUGGCUUGAGGGAACUUGGGGUUGCCAUCAGGCCCGUAUGAAUCAGAAAUUCUGGGCUUCUCAUCCCCCACCAGGCACUCCCACACUGUCCCUCCUCUGCAUGUUUGCCUCUCCAUUCUCUCUACCUUCACUGUCUCGGUUGCCUAUGGUCACAGUGAUACUCAAUAAACCACCAAAUCCAGUGGCUUAAGAGCAUGUGCUUCCUUCAGCAGGGCAGUUCUGACCUUGGCUGGUCUCACUCAUGUGUCUGCAUCUGUGGUGAGCUGGCAGAUUGGGGUGUAGAUUGGGCUCUCCCACUUGUCCAGGUCCUCAGCUGGGACACCUGGGCUGGCUUGGCUCUGCUCUGUGUGGCCUCUCAUGCUCCAAGAAGCUAGCCCAGGCUUAAGUACACUGAGGUGGCAGUUGCAGCCUGCAAGGCCUCUCGUGGCUUAGGCUCAGGACUGGCACAUCAUCACUUCUGCUGCACUUCUCCCUGCUAAAGCAAGUAUUGAGGCCACCCAAGAUCCAGAAGGUGGAGAGGAGCAGCAGAGCCUCACUGCAAAGGGCACAAAUGUGCAGAGGCCCUUCUCUGGAUCCACAAAUGCAGCCAGUGUACAGCAAACACCAUCUCCGCCCCCUUCUCUCCACCUGUUGGCAUACUUACUGUUCUUCAAGGCCCACCUGAAGUCUAGCUCUUUGUGAAGUUUUACCUAAACAUUCC
rnacentral:lncRNA from 1 species